CGGAAAGAAAGAUGUGAAAUCCCAGGGCUUAACCUAGGAACUGCAUCACUUUAACUGCCGAGCUAGAGUAUGUCAGAGGGGGGUAGAAUUCCACGUGUAGCAGUGAAAUGCGUAGAUAUGUGGAGGAAUACCGAUGGCGAAGGCAGCCCCCUGGGAUAAUACUGACGCUCAGACACGAAAGCGUGGGGAGCAAACAGGAUUAGAUACCCUGGUAGUCCACGCCCUAAACGAUGUCAACUAGCUGUUGGGGCCGUUAGGCCUUAGUAGCGCAGCUAACGCGUGAAGUUGACCGCCUGGGGAGUACNGUCGCAAGAU
rnacentral:rRNA from 1 species